UGUGGGAGCGGGCUUGCUCGCGAAAGCGAUUUGUCAGUCACAUUAAUGUUGAAUGUGCCGACCUAUUCGCGAGCAAGCCCGCUCCCACA
rnacentral:misc_RNA from 1 species